rnacentral:rRNA from 1 species
GGCAGCAGGCGCGCAAAUUACCCACUCUCAGAACGAGGAGGUAGUGACGAAAAAUAACGAGGUGGCCCUCUUUGAGGUCCAUCAUCGGAAUGGGUACAAUUUAAAUCCUUUAACGAGGAUCUAUUGGAGGGCAAGUCUGGUGCCAGCAGCCGCGGUAAUUCCAGCUCCAAUAGCGUAUACUAAAGUUGUUGCGGUUAAAAAGCUCGUAGUUGGAUCUGCGCCAGGUGGAAGCGGUCGCCCGAUGGGUUGUUACUGCUUACCUCUGGCUAACCAUUCGGUUUUCCCUUGAUGCUCUUAAGUGAGUGUCCUGGGUGACCGGAACGUUUACUUUGAAAAAAUUAGAGUGCUCAAAGCAGGCAUUUCGCCCGAAUAUUCGUGCAUGGAAUAAUAAAAGAGGUCCUUGUAGCCUUUUAUUGGUUAUCGCUACGAGGAAAUGAUCGAAGGGGACAGACGGGGGCAUUUGUAUUGCGACGUUAGAGGUGAAAUUCUUGGAUCGUCGCAAGACAAACUACUGCGAAAGCAUUUGCCAAGAAUGUUUUCAUCAAUCAAGAACGAAAGUCUGAGGU